rnacentral:ncRNA from 1 species
GCCUGUUGGAUCUUCAGACUAGAACUGCUCUUGCUCUUCUUGAACGUACUCGACAUAAUCCUCAUACACGUUCUCAGCACCCGUUGCUACCCAAAACAAGGAAUUCCCGGUGGAGCGGUGAAAUGCAUUGAGAUCGGAAAGAACACCAACGGCGAAAGCACUCUGCUGGGCCGACACUGACACUGAGAGACGAAAGCUAGGGGAGCAAAUGGGAUUAGAGACC